rnacentral:rRNA from 1 species
AUUGAACGCUGGCGGCAGGCCUAACACAUGCAAGUCGAGCGGAUGAGAGGAGCUUGCUUCUCGAUUCAGCGGCGGACGGGUGAGUAAUGCCUAGGAAUCUGCCUGGUAGGGGGGGACACCGUUUCGAAAGGAACGCUAAUACCGCAUACGUCCUACGGGAGAAAGCAGGGGACAUUCGGGCCUUGCGCUAUCAGAUGAGCCUGGGUCGGAUUAGCUAGUUGGUGAGGUAAUGGCUCACCAAGGCGACGAUCCGUAACUGGUCUGAGAGGAUGAUCAGUCACACUGGAACUGAGACACGGUCCAGACUCCUACGGGAGGCAGCAGUGGGGAAUAUUGGACAAUGGGCGAAAGCCUGAUCCAGCCAUGCCGCGUGUGUGAAGAAGGUCUUCGGAUUGUAAAGCACUUUAAGUUGGGAGGAAGGGUUGUAGAUUAAUACUCUGCAAUUUUGACGUUACCGACAGAAUAAGCACCGGCUAACUCUGUGCCAGCCGCCGCCGUAAUAC